GUAGGGAAUCUUCGGCAAUGGACGAAAGUCUGACCGAGCAACGCCGCGUGAGUGUAGAAGGUUUUCGGAUCGUAAAACUCUGUUGGUAGAGAAGAACGUUGGUGAGAGUGGAAACCUCAUCAAGUGACGGUAACUACCCAGAAAGGGACGGCUAACUACGUGCCAGCAGCCGCGGUAAUACGUAGGUCCCGAGCGUUUUCCGGAUUUAUUGGGCGUAAAGCGAGCUCAGGUGGUUUAUUAAGUCUGGUGGAAAAGGCAGUAGCUGAACCAUUGUAUGCAUUGGCAACUGGUAGACUUGAGUGCAGGAGAGGAGAGUGGAAUUCCAUGUGUAGCGGUGAAAUGCGUAGAUAUAUGGAGGAACACCGGUGGCGAAAGCGGCUCUCUGGCCUGUAACUGACACUGAGGCUCGAAAGCGUGGGGAGCAAACAGGAUUAGAUACCCUGGUAGUCC
rnacentral:rRNA from 1 species